UAAUGUAUGGGGAUCUGCCCGAUAGAGGGGGAUAACUACUGGAAACGGUGGCUAAUACCGCAUAAUGUCUACGGACCAAAGCAGGGGCGUCCUUCGGACCUUGCACUAUCGGAUGAACCCAUAUGGGAUUAGCUAGUAGGUGGGGUAAAGGCUCACCUAGGCGACGAUCUCUAGCUGGUCUGAGAGGAUGAUCAGCCACACUGGGACUGAGACACGGCCCAG
rnacentral:rRNA from 1 species